rnacentral:rRNA from 1 species
CCAGACUCCUACGGGAGGCAGCAGUGGGGGAGAGUGAACAAUGGGGGGAACUCUGAUGAAGAGAGGCCGCGUGAGGGAAGACGGUCUUAGGAUUGUAAACAUCUGUCUUUGGGGAAGAAAAUGACGGUAACAAAAGAGGAAGCUUCGGCUAACUACGUGCCAGCAGCCGCGGUAAUACGUAGGGAGCGAGCGUUAUCCGGAUUUACUGGGUGUAAAGGGCGUGUAGGCGGGAAAGCAAGUCAGAUGUGAAAACCAUGGGCUCAACCUGUGGCCUGCAUUUGAAACUGUUUUUCUUGAGUACUGGAGAGGCAGACGGAAUUCCUAGUGUAGCGGUGAAAUGCGUAGAUAUUAGGAGGAACACCAGUGGCGAAGGCGGCCUGCUGGGCUUUUACUGACGCUGAGGCUCGAAAGUGUGGGGAGCAAACAGGAUUAGAUACCCCCGUAU